GACGAACGCUGGCGGCGUGCCUAAUACAUGCAAGUCGAGCGAAUCUUGAGGUGCUUGCACCUCUUGGUUAGCGGCGGACGGGUGAGUAACACGUGGGCAACCUGCCUGUAAGACUGGGAUAACUUCGGGAAACCGGAGCUAAUACCGGAUAAUCCUUUUCCUCUCAUGAGGGAAAGUUGAAAGUCGGUUUACGCUGACACUUACAGAUGGGCCCGCGGGGCAUUAGCUAGUUGGUGAGGUAACGGCUCACCAAGGCGACGAUGCGUAGCCGACCUGAGAGGGUGAUCGGCCACACUGGGACUGAGACACGGCCCAGACUCCUACGGGAGGCAGCAGUAGGGAAUCUUCCGCAAUGGACGAAAGUCUGACGGAGCAACGCCGCGUGAGCGAUGAAGGCCUUCGGGUCGUAAAGCUCUGUUGUUAGGGAAGAACAAGUACCGGAGUAACUGCCGGUACCUUGACGGUACCUAACCAGAAAGCCACGGCUAACUACGUGCCAGCCGCCGCAGUAAAAC
rnacentral:rRNA from 1 species